UAGGAAAUAAUAUAAAGGG
rnacentral:tRNA from 1 species